AAAAAAGAAGGAAGGGGGAGAGAAGAAAGAGAGUGAGAAUUUAUGAAUAAGAAAAGACAUGGAUGAGGUUUUGUUUUGUGUGAGUAUGAGGCAUGAGGGAGAGGAGAGAUGAAGGGGGGAGUGAAGGGUUGGAAGGAAGGAAAGAUAUAAGAAGGAGAGAAUAGUGAGUGAAGAUUUAGGAAUAAGAGAAGAGGAGAAUAGAAGAAUAUAGUUUAGUUUCGUGUAUAUGAGGUAUAAGAGGGAGACGAGGGGAAGGGGAAGAGAGGAAGGAGAGGAGAGGAGAGGGGAGGGGGGUGAAGGGGUUACAUAUGAAGGGUGAGAGAGAGGGGAGGUGAAGACUACAUUUGGGAAGCUGAGAUAAAAAAAAAAAUAGGAAGAUGGAACAAAGAUAACAACAUACGACAGACAGACACAGACAGACAGACAGACAAUCGAAUGAGGUUAUGAAAUACGUGUUCGUGAGAU